rnacentral:rRNA from 1 species
ACGCUGGCGGCGUGCCUAAUACAUGCAAGUCGAACGGUCUUUCUAUGGAAGCUUGCUUCCACUGAGAAGAUAGUGGGCGAACGGGUGGAGUAACACGUGGGUAACCUGCCCAUAAGAGGGGGAUAACAUCCGGAAACGGGUGCUAAUACCGCAUAGUUUUCUUGAUCGCAUGAUCGGGAAAGGAAAGACGGCCUUUGUGCUGUCGCUUAUGGAUGGACCCGCGGCGUAUUAGUUAGUUGGUGAGGUAACGGCUCACCAAGACGAUGAUACGUAGCCGACCUGAGAGGGUGAUCGGCCACAUUGGGACUGAGACACGGCCCAAACUCCUACGGGAGGCAGCAGUAGGGAAUCUUCCGCAAUGGACGAAAGUCUGACGGAGCAACGCCGCGUGAGUGAAGAAAAGGGUUUUCGGAUCGUAAAACUCUGUUGUCAGAGAAGAACAAGUUGGAGAGUAACUGCUCCAGCCUUGACGGUAUCUGACCAGAAAGCCACGGCUAACUACGUGCCAGCCGCAGC